rnacentral:rRNA from 1 species
CUGGCUCAGAACGAACGCUGCGGCGUGCUUAACACAUGCAAGUCGAACGCGAAAGGGGACUUCGGUCCUGAGUAAAAGUGGCGCACGGGUGAGUAACGCGUAGAUAACCUGUCUUCAUGUCUGGAAUAAUACGCCAAAGGGGUACUAAUACCGGAUAUUCUUGCUUUCAUAAGUUAUGCAAGCAAAGGUGGCCUCUGCAUAUGCUACUGCAUGAAGAGGGGUCUGCGUACCAUUAGCUAGUAGGUGGGGUAAUGGCCUACCUAGGCGACGAUGGUUAGCGGGUCUGAGAGGAUGAUCCGCCACACUGGCACUGGAACACGGGCCAGACUCCUACGGGAGGCAGCAGUGAGGAAUAUUGCGCAAUGGGGGAAACCCUGACGCAGCGACGCCGCGUGAAGUGAGGAAGGCCUUCGGGUCGUAAAGCUCUGUCAAGAGGAAAGAAGUGUACAAUGGCUAAUACCUGUUGUAUUUGACGGUACCUCUAAAGGAAGCACCGGCUAACUCCGUGCCAGCCGCCGC